AUUGAACGCUGGCGGCAUGCCUUACACAUGCAAGUCGAACGGUAACAGGUCUUUCGGGAUGCUGACGAGUGGCGAACGGGUGAGUAAUACAUCGGAACGUGCCUAGUAGUGGGGGAUAACUACUCGAAAGAGUGGCUAAUACCGCAUGAGAUCUAUGGAUGAAAGCAGGGGACCUUUGGGCCUUGUGCUACUAGAGCGGCCGAUGGCUGAUUAGGUAGUUGGUGGGAUAAAAGCUUACCAAGCCUACGAUCUGUAGCUGGUCUGAGAGGACGAUCAGCCACACUGGGACUGAGACACGGCCCAGACUCCUACGGGAGGCAGCAGUGGGGAAUUUUGGACAAAGGGCGCAAGCCUGAUCCAGCAAUGCCGCGUGCAGGAUGAAGGCCUUCGGGUUGUAAACUGCUUUUGUACGGAACGAAAAGUCUUGGGUUAAUACCCUGGGAUCAUGACGGUACCGUAAGAAUAAGCACCGGCUAACUACGUG
rnacentral:rRNA from 1 species